UUUCCUUGCAUCAGCUGCUGUUCAUCAGUGCUGCAGUGGCUCACUUGUCUUCGAAGGCAGCUUCCUUGGAGGGACAGCAACAUUUCACUGGAGCUAAUAAAGUCAAUAAGGAUAAUAUUAUACAGUAGGCCACUAGAAAACCAGGUGCAUUUUGCACAAAUCAUUCUGUUUUUAAUUCCUACCAAUUUUACACUUCAUGAAGAAUGUUUAAAGAGCCCUAUUAUUAUUACUUACAUUAGCUUGCGUAUAUAUUUAAUUGCCAUUUUUCUUUUUCUUUCUUUCCCUUUUUUAGUUGUUGCAAGAAAAAGAAAGCAAAGAAGAAAAAAAUUGUGGACAUGUUCACACAUUUUCAUUACCACAAAAGUACUGAUGAAAACUGAUCAAAGCUGGGAAACGCAUCGCAGUAGCUCGAAACCCCAUCUCAAGCCAGUCCCUUAUUACCCAGUAUUCUUAGCUGGCAGAAACCUAAUGUGACUGAACUAUAUAGUGCAUCUCCUGGACCUCUAGAGAAGAAUGCCUCCAGCCGGGAGUGACGCAGCACAUGGAGAUCAGAGCUCCAGUACUGGGUUCUCAUUCCCGGCCCCUCCCCUGAUAUGAACAAGCUUCAAAGAGAAAGAGAAAACAGGUGCUUGAGGGCAUGGCCAGGAAAGAGAAGUCUCACCCGGGCUGACGCGGGAUCCUAUUAGAAAUUUUGGUUACACGUUGUUUGUGCUGGUCAGUGAUGAUGCCAGCAGAGAGGUCUUUCUAUGUGGCCAAAGAUUGCAUGAAGGGCCAGGUGUGGAGUUCCCUUACAGGGCAAUGCCUUGCUGUGCUCAAAGGCAAAUGUAGAGGAUAGAUCCCUUUGGAAUGGGCCUCCAAGCACCAGGAAUUCCCUAGUAUGGGAUCUUUGGGCUGUGUCCCCUCUUAUACACAUGACCUGGGACAUACGGCAUCUCAGAAGUGUGUGAGCAGUGCAUUUGCAAAGUCAGCCCACGUACAUGCAUUUCAGACUAGAGUAUUUUUGACUUCCCACUUAGCCCAGCGCCCCAACGACUGUCUUCUCUCAGUUAUAUGUUAGCUGGGGUAGCAUGAGGGACGUAUGUGCCCAAUAUGGCUCUAAAUUUCUGGACAUUAAUUUAGGCAGGGGCUAAGUGUAAACACUGGAAUCUAUCUGGCUUCCUCAUCCCUUAGACUGUACAUGCCAGACAUAGGUCCCUAGGCAGGUCACCACUUUCGAGUGCCCCUUAUAUGCCAGCACUGUCCUGGCAUUAUGGUAUCCCCGUUAUGAUAACUCAUUCCCCCAGAAUGAUAACUCAUUCUCUCAAGUUGUCGUAAGAACUCUGAUGAGUAGGAGUAAUUCCCAUUUUACAACUGAGGACUCUGAGGCUCAGGGGAUUUGUGAUUUCCCUAUGGCCACCCAAUAGGUAAUAGGCACAGAUAAGUUACAAAGAUAUUGUAAAGCAGAAGCAUUAAUUCUUUGAAAGAUUGUAUGGGAUUUUCUGUUCCCAGUGCCCCUUUAGAAUUGCUGCAAAGAUGGCACCUGAUCUAUGUACCUGCCGAGUGUGCUCCUGGCUGCAUCUUGAAACAGAGGAGAUAUUUAUGCCAGUCCAUGGGAAGAACUAUGGCUGAGUAUAUUACUUUGGGAAUCUGUGAGCACCGGAUGAGUUCCCUGAUAGGAUUCCUUGAGUAACAUUUGACAGAGCCUUUCUGCCCCCAUCUAACCUCAGCUAUUGUUACCAUUGAGAGAACAUUUUCCUAGGUCAUGCUGUUAAGAGGGCAUCCCAGCCAUUGCUAUGCCAUUGACAAUUCACUGCCCAACAAUGACUGGCUCCAUGUAUACUUUUUGUCUUGUCACCAGAUGCAAGGAACACCUGGUUGCAUAGGAGCCUUGAAGAGUUGCUUGGCCCUGGAGAUCAACGUCAUUCUGUAGAUUCCCAAAACAAGUAUACCAGUUUUUGAUUAUUUCAGAGUCCAUCCCUGCAUAGUUCCUAUUCCUUCAUUACUGUCAGGAGUUCAAGUCAGGUUUUCUUCAUUAUGGUGUGUGUUUUUGUCAUUGUUUGUCUCAAUGAAACUCUGAAGCUUCCUGAACUCUGAAUAAUCAAUAUCCAGCUCAUUACUGCCAAAAUUGUGAGUAAUUAAAGCUUGAAAACAAAUUUGGAAUGCAAUUUGAGAAAGCGCUGCAAAGCCACGACCACCUUCCAAUUCAAUGUGCAUUUUUGUCUCCCUUUCCUUGAAUGCAUUUGGUGUUAAUCGUCUUUCAUUGCACCAGCAGGGACCCAAAAAGAAUCUCUUUAGAACCUGUAGUUGAAUUGAGCAUGGUGUCUGUUUCUUUAAUGCUUUGAUGUAAAAUUUAGCAGAGUUGCCAGACAUCUGAAACCCUAACUGAACCUUUCCUGAAAAAACAUGGGGUCUGAGGGUCUGAGCCCUGUAAGAGCUUUUGCUGGUAUCAUAUAAUGAUGCUGCAUUCGUGAGAGGACCUCUUAUACAUGCCAUUUGUACACAAAAUCUCCUGGCAAGAAAGCUAUCCAUCUCUGUGGUCUUGAGGUGGGGGCUGAGUUAAUGUCUGCUAACCUGAUGAAAAUCACCUUGCCAUGAACUCUAAGUUGAAAUUCUGUUGCCAUUUUCCUUCCUCUCCCUUGAAACAAGACGUAUUAAUUGGCUGCAUUGCCCCUAAACAAGUAUUUGCUUUUUUUUUCCAGCAUGCAGUAGGAUCUCUGUUUUUCCAUAAACAGUUGCAAAUGAUAAAAUAAAUCAAUAUUUGUUAAUGUUAUGAUGCA
rnacentral:lncRNA from 1 species